UACAUGGGGUGCAAACGUUGUUCGGAAUUACUGGGCGUAAAGCGCGUGUAGGCGGCUCUGCAAGUCGGAUGUGAAAUCCCACGGCUCAACCAUGGAAGUGCAUUCGAAACUGCAGGGCUAGAGUUCUGGAGAGGAAGGUGGAAUGCUUGGUGUAGAGGUGAAAUUCGUAGAUAUCAAGCGGAACACCGGUGGCGAAGGCGGCCUUCUGGACAGUAACUGACGCUGAGACGCGAAAGCGUGGGGAGCAAAACAGG
rnacentral:rRNA from 1 species